rnacentral:rRNA from 1 species
AACAAACGCUGGCGGCGUGCCUAAUACAUGCAAGUCGAACGGGGAAAGCUUUCGGGCGAGUACUAGUGGCGCACGGGUGAGUAACACGUGGAUAAUCUGCCUUGGAGUGGGGGAUAACUAGUCGAAAGAUUAGCUAAUACCGCAUAAGACCACAGGAGCUGCGGCUCUAGGGGUCAAAGGUUUUUCGUUCCAAGAUGAGUCCGCGUAAGAUUAGCUAGUUGGUGAGGUAAUGGCUCACAAAGGCGACGAUCUUUAACUGGUCUGAGAGGAUGAUCAGUCACACUGGAACUGAGACACGGUCCAGACUCCUACGGGAGGCAGCAGUAGGGAAUAUUGCACAAUGGAGGAAACUCUGAUGCAGCGACGCCGCGUGAAUGAUGAAGGCCUUCGGGUCGUAAAGCUCUGUCGCAGGGGAAUAACACAAUGAAGGUACCCUGCAAGAAAGGAUCGGCUAACUUCGUGCCAGCCGCCGCAGUAAAAC